ensembl:lncRNA
CUGGGCCGGCCUCGGGGCCCCAGCGCAGCGCUGCGGAGGUGCAGCUGCGAGUGACUCUAGAGCAAUGUUUGUAAAGACAUCAGGCUUUUUGUUGGGGGGCAGAGGGAGGGGGGGAAUCAAAUCUCCGGGGAGGACAGGAAGGGUAAAGAGAGCUGUGAGCAUUUCCAAACGAUGGGAGCAAGGGGCCGAAGGCCGAGGCGUGAAGAUCGUGCCUGGUGCAGAGCAGCCUUCGCGAGCGCUCAGACGCCAAGCCCCAGCAGUUCUGGGGAUCCGAAUGCGUUGUUAUUCCUUUGUUUCUUACAGACCAGGAGACCUGCGUCGUAACAAGCGCGGCAGAAGGUUCUUCCAGCUCCAGUCCCCGCAGGUGGAAGAACACGACUGGAAUACUGAUGGGAGCUGGCUGGUUGAAACUGACUGGACAGACAUCUGGACAAUGCUCUUUGGCACAUCUUGGGGAAACACUUGGAAUAUGUACUGAGGCUUGCAUUCCCUCCUUUAGCGGAGGCUUUAUACUAUAUGUUUGUUACUAGAGCUUUUUACGGAAGAUGGGAUUGUUAGAACUGUAAAUCUCCCCUUGGUGUUAAACAAUGACUAAAUUUUGCUAUACAAGUCUUCAGACAUGAACCUUGCUGCCAAAUCCCUCAUUACACUGGAAUUCCAGUGCUGCAAUGGUUUCUUUCCUAGGUCUAGCUGAUACAAAAAGCAUCAGGCUGCUUAUCAGGGGUAUUUACUUAUAGAAGUAAACAAAGCCAUGAUUUCCAGUCCUGGGGUUAUGAGCCUGAAAGUUUAAGCAGAAGUAAGAUUGUGAUUCCAGAAACAGACACUCAAGUAGAAAUGUGUAAGAAUUGCUGCCCGAAUACCAAUAGAUCUUUUGACUUCCUGGUAGACUUUAAGGGAUGGUGCCAGUGUACACAAUUUGGUAUGGCUUCAGAUCUGCUUGAAAGCAUACCUUUUGCUCUAACUCAAACUCAUGGCUACAUCAGUACAAAUAUAUUUAACAGUAGCAGAGCCUGUUCUUUGGCCUUGAGGCCAACUAGUAUGUCUAGGCAGAUCCAUACUACUAAACUCUCUUAGCCGCCAGAAAAGGACGACUGAAUCUAACCUGCCUAUUGGUAAUUGUCUGUGGCCUGGGCCAACCCCUGAGUCAUGACCAGGUGUUGUUUGGGACUGGCGAAACAAACAUGGUAUGGGCCAAAAUCACACUAGAGUUUUCCUUUAAUUCAUUAGGCUUAAUGACAGAUAACAAGUCUAUAGACUGGAAGGGGUAAAAGGAUCAAGAAGUCAUUUUCUCCAUCUUCUGAUUUGAGGCAAGUUUAAAUGUAAUUCCACGGUCCAGAGGUCCCCUGUUUCUUUGCUAAACUGUCUUUACCAGCAUCUUCUUCUUAAUACAUAGUCUAAGUCUUCUCAGCUGCAGAUUUAAACUAACGAUUUCUUACGUCAGCAUAGUGAAAAACAGGGGUAAUAAUCACAGUCAUAUUUGUAACAGGCUGCUUACCUUUUGAAAAUAUAUCAAAACACAUCCAUUGCAUUGCGAGGAGGAAGGCAGGUUCAUCUUACAGUAGCCACCUACAGCCAAGCUAGUGUCUCCUGGGUCCCUUAACAGACAAUCGAGAGAAAUGAGUGCUUCUACAAUUCCUCUCAUUCUAACAUAGACGUCUGAAAGAGAUUAAUCCCAUCCUGGAGCUGCCUUCAUCUCUUCAAUGAUUAUCAAUAGAGUCUAGAUGAUUAGCUCAGACAUUUGCCGCUACGUUUUUUCUCAUUUUGAGGAACAGGUCCAGUUCUUUCAACAUUUCUUCAUAGGAUUUCUAAACCUCUUUGCAUUUUUGUUCCUUUUCUUUAUAAUCUCUCCAGUCUGUCUUCAACGUCAUUAUAUCGUUUUGUCCAAAGUUCAUUUUGUCCACACUCUGCUCAAGCUGAGAAUUCAGCAUGCAACAAUUCUGUUGAUGCAGCUUGGAAAUAAAUGUGUCUUUUUAGCAGCA